rnacentral:rRNA from 1 species
GACGAACGCUGGCGGCGUGCUUAACACAUGCAAGUCGUACGGUAAGGCCCUUUCGGGGGUACACGAGUGGCGAACGGGUGAGUAACACGUGAGUAACCUGCCCACAACUUUGGGAUAACGCUAGGAAACUGGUGCUAAUACUGGGUAUGUGCCCCUGCUGCAUGGUGGGGGUUGGAAAGCUCCGGCGGUUGUGGAUGGACUCGCGGCCUAUCAGCUUGUUGGUGGGGUAGUGGCCUACCAAGGCGGCGACGGGUAGCCGGCCUGAGAGGGUGACCGGCCACAUUGGGACUGAGAUACGGCCCAGACUCCUACGGGAGGCAGCAGUGGGGAAUAUUGCACAAUGGGCGCAAGCCUGAUGCAGCAACGCCGCGUGCGGGAUGACGGCCUUCGGGUUGUAAACCGCUUUCAGCAGGGACGAAGCUUUUUGUGACGGUACCUGCAGAAGAAGCACCGGCUAACUACGUG